AUUGAACGCUGGCGGCAGGCCUAACACAUGCAAGUCGAACGAGUGGCGGACGGGUGAGUAAUGUCUGGGAAACUGCCCGAUGGAGGGGGAUAACUACUGGAAACGGUAGCUAAUACCGCAUACAGUGGGAUGUGACAGACUGGGAUUAGCUAGUAGGUGGGGUAAGGGCGCACCUAGGCGACGAUCCCUAGCUGGUCUGAGAGGAUGACCAGCCACACUGGAACUGAGACCCGGUCCAGACUCCUACGGGAGGCAGCAGUGGGGAAUAUUGCACAAUGGGCGCAAGCCUGAUGCAGCCAUGCCGCGUGUAUGAAGAAGGCCUUCGGGUUGUAAAGUACUUUCAGCGAGGAGGCGUUACUCGCAGAAGAAGCACCGGCUAACUCCGUGCCAGCCGCCGCGGUAAUUC
rnacentral:rRNA from 1 species